AACGAACGCUGGCGGCAUGCCUAACACAUGCAAGUCGAACGGGAUCCUAGCUUGCUAGGUGAGAGUGGCGGACGGGUGAGUAACACGUGGGAAUCUGCCUUUUGGUUCGGGAUAACCGCGGGAAACUGCGGCUAAUACCGAAUGCCCUCGAGAGAGGAAAGAUUUAUCGCCAGAAGAGGAGCCCGCGUCCGAUUAGGUAGUUGGUGGGGUAAAGGCCUACCAAGCCGACGAUCGGUAGCUGGUCUGAGAGGAUGAUCAGCCACAUUGGGACUGAGACACGGCCCAAACUCCUACGGGAGGCAGCAGUGGGGAAUAUUGGACAAUGGGCGCAAGCCUGAUCCAGCCAUGCCGCGUGAGUGAUGAAGGCCCUAGGGUUGUAAAGCUCUUUCACCGGUGAAGAUAAUGACGGUAACCGGAGAAGAAGCCCCGGCUAACUUCGUGCCAGCAGCCGCGGUAAU
rnacentral:rRNA from 1 species